GUCCCACCAGUAUUACUCUUCACUUUACCCUUUCUGCAGUCUUCUGGACUUCUCUGUUCUUCUUUCCUCACACAAGUUGCUCUCUUGAUUCACUGCAUUCAGGAUGCUCGUCCUAACCUGAAGCCACCCCCGCACCUGGUGCUUUGACGGGGUGACCAUCGACGGCGAUUGAGGGUUAGCAGGGCCCAAGGAUCUACUACACCAGAGUCUAGGCAAGAUCAUCGAUCUGGACGCUGCCGUUGAUGCUGUCGUCCGUGUCGUUGAUUUGGUCUUGGAUUUCAUCUCCCGCAGGCCUGCAACGGCAACAUUGUUCCAAAUUGAGCUGCAGGUGAUAUCAUAUUUGUGACAUGAAGAGUAAGAGAGCCACAUGUCAAUCUUAAGGAGGUGUUUUUUGGGAAUGUUUAUAUGUUCCAAUCAUGCCAUGUAUCUUCAUCUCCAGUUGGAUGGAGCUGCUGGUAUUACGACAGGAACCCACCAUAGCAUCUGAGAGAUAUCCUAUGGCCACUGGAGGAAGAUAAUUCUGAAGUUGAUCUCGAAGUUUGGGUCGCCGGAGGAAGAUGAUGUGCGAGGAAGAUCAUGUAGAAGUUGUAACCUAAAAUCUCGAGGACAACGAACCUAUGAGGUCGUGGGGAAGGUCUUAUAUGGAUGGUUAAGUUUCUCAUGUUUGCACGAUGGAAAAAAAUUGGAUUCCAUGUGGACACAUAUUCUGUUUGGAGAGAUAUGAUAUUUUCGAUUUCGUUAGGCA